rnacentral:lncRNA from 1 species
UAUAAAUAUUCACAUUUAUUAACAGUUAUUUAUAAUUUCAAUGAACAAUUUAAAAUGGAGUUAAAUAUCGUUGUGCCAAGUAGCCUUUUAAAAAGCAUCUUUUUUGUAAAUAAAUUUAAUAAGUUAAACGAUUUUCUCUAGAAAAAUUGUCCUUCUUUUUCAAAGUAGAGCACUGCUAAUUUUUUGGAUCUACACUCAAAUUAUGUUUUUUAGAAGUCUUCACUAAAUGCUCCAUAUCACCUUUUAUGGGUUGCUUUACAAGCAUCCAUCCUCGUACUACCCCAGUACAAAUUAUACUGUAUUCAGAUUGCCCCGAUCAUGUUACAAAUAACUGCAACCUUCCAUCUAAACAAUUUUUACACGUACCGAUUUUUUGGAGAAUCCUAUGUAAGAAAAGGGCUAGUAAAAGCUUAUGAAUGGUGGUAUCAAAAGCCUUGUAGUAAUUCAGAAAUACCAAAGCAGUAAUUUUUCCAGCAUCAUUCUUUUUUAAGCAUUAGCUAAUGCACAGGAGCAGCAAUAUUCUAAAUGUAUUUAGACCAUGAGGCCUGGAUGGUUAAUACAAAAAAUGGGAAACGAUUUUCUGAGGCUGUGGGGUUACUACCAGAUUAAAGCUGCCUCAAGCCAAUUCAGAAAAGAUAUCCCGGUGAUUUUAUAGAGCAGUGACCCGCACCAAUUAUUGACUUAUUAUCAAUCCUAUCCAGCAAAACUAUUUCCGACUCCUUAGCUUACGCUUAAAGAGGAGUCACCUUAGAUACAUCCAAAAAAUUGGUCAAACCUUCUGUAGUUAAAUGCACCCUUAAACCUAUGACCUCAUCCAAAAUGAAGAGCUUAUAUUGGCAUAUUCGCAUAGUUUACCCUAUAUCUCUGCUUCCCAACCAGAAUUAUCCUACUAUGGAGCCUACUAAUGCCACAAUUAUGCACAAUAUUAAGUAUGCCAGAGUAAAUCCGAGGUGUUCCAGAGCUGGACAGUCUAGCUCAUGUGGAAAAAGCAGAAAGGAGCAAUCACUUGUUUUAACUGGAUACCCUGGAGUAUCUUGUGGUCAGUUUGUGCCUUCUAAAGGAGAUUGUGAUGUGAUUUACUGGAAAAUGUAUAUGGUGAUAUGCUGGCUCAAUUUGGAACAAAAACCGAUUUCCUGAAGCUAUGGGGUUACUACCAGACUGAAGUUGCCUCACGCCUAUGCAGCAAAGCUAGCAAAGAUAUUUCGGCGAUUUUAUGGAGAACUGACCUGAUAAAAUAGGAAAAUGUCACGAGCCUAGUGUGGGAUAUGUCUGGUAACUUGAAUGUUUUAACGACAUUACUUAGCAAAGGUUACAAUAUCUUACUGAGUAAUUACAGUGCCACCUAAUUUUUUUUUGCUUCUUGGGUCUGCUCUCAAAAUUACUGUGUGUACCCCACCAUGCCAAGGAUGGUAAUGGGCAAGAAAAAUUGCUAGAAACAGGUGGCAUAACUGAUCUCUGGACAGAACAAGCUGGAUCUACUUCAGUUGAUAAUAAAUUGUGGUCUAGGGCAGCUGCUAAUGAGGAAACCCUCUGUACUAACCCCAAACUACUCAGAAGUAGAAGAAAGGAUGUUGAUCCAAUGAUAUUGACUGUUGAAGUUGGGGAUUGAUGCUACUGAAAUUAAACCAGAGUGGUGCAGAAGAUAUCAACAAUAUUGUCCAAUUUCGAAGAGUUUGAUGCGUGAUAUGUUAAAUAAAAAAAAGGUUUUAAGUGUUCAUGUUGUUUAAUAAAUGUGUCAAUCCAAUUCAACCUUGCUAUCUAUCAAAAACAUUUACGAUUCACCUGCUUAUGCUUGGAAAGGAUUUAUCUU